CAUUCUUGGUACUUUCAGUUGCUGGAAAUUCAUUGAUUUAGUUUCAAAUACUGAAUGGAAUUUCUCUUCAAGAGUAAGUGAUGUACCCCUUCAGAGUGGCUGUAUAUUUUGUCAGACUGAGAGUAUCAGCUUGGACUUACACAGUUCUUUGCUCUUAGAGAAAGUUGCAUGAGGACCAUGUUUAAGGCUUCAGUGUAACAUUUAACAUGGAAAAUACAGGCAAGCUUACAGAAUACUAUAACAAAGUGGGUGCAGUUAGAAAGCAAUGAUUUGUCACCAGUUUUUAGCUUUUCUGUGCCUCACAGACUGCCUUGCCUCAAAGUAAUAAGGAGAGCAAAUCUUGAUGUUGCCUAUAGUUCCUUAUAUACUACUCUUGCCAGUGAAAAUCAGGAAAUGCUGAUCUAGAAGAAGGUUGCAUUUUGAAAUGUCUGGUUUAUUCAGAUUUCCUUAACUGUGUGACAUUUCAUUAUUUUCUCUUCUAUAUAAAGAGGCACCAGCUAUGAAAUGACACUUCAGUCCUGAUUACCUAGAUGGUUAUUUUCAGAAUAUAUCUACAUUGUUCAGUGAAAAUUUGUUUAACGUUUUAGAAUAACUUUCAGUAUAAUGCAGUGCUUGGUCAGACUCCUUGUGGGACCAAAUUAACACUUCUGCCUAGCACUGCAUCCAGUAGAGUGCCAUCCAGCUAUGAAAGAGGUUUCAUUGCAUGGAACUCCUUUGAAAAAUAUCCAUACGUGCUUUCUCUAAUAGAGAGGUAAGAGUAGAAGAAAAUGGCCUUGACUGGUAGACCUGUUGGACAGUGUCACGGAUUCUUGUCUGAGAAUGGACAGAUCUGAUUCUUCUGGAAUCCAUAGGGAAGACUAAGAGCACUGUGGUAUAAAUUCACAGAGAUACAGCGUUUGGUGAGAGAUUAAUGUGAUUCUGACCUGAAGCCCCAUAAUUUCUUCUGAUUUUUCCAGGAGUUGAUUCAGUCAUAUCUGAAAUAACACCAGAAUGGGUAAAAAUCUGGUUUUAGUGAACUGUAUUUAAAUUGAAGGUGUUUGACCAGCUCUAACAUUCUGCAGAACUUAUGGAGGCAUAAGAAGUGGAUCAAAUGAUUUCACUAUCUGGUACUUUAAAUAAAACCUUUUAUUGUAAUGAUUAUAGCAAGUAGAGAAGCUGUCAUGAUGUCCCUAACUUUUUUUUUAAGUAUCUGGUGCACCUGUAGAUCUAAAAUAUUAAUGCAAUCCUAACAUGUGAGACUUAUGUUUCAGACCACAUGAAGAGUGUAUUCUGGGAGUUAUAGCCUUUUUCCUUACUUUGAAUGAAAGGGGAAGACAUGCCUUGUCAGCCAACCAUGCAGAGAAAAAUAAUAAAAAUAUUCAUAUGCUAAAAUAUCCUAACCAGAGAAAGAACGAGACAAUUUGUCGAAUAAUGUAUUAGCUUAUUAUUCACAGGGUAAGAACUCCUGUUUCUCAGGUCUUAUUUCUCCUCUGUUGAGAAAAUUAAAUGCUUAUUUGAUAUAUUUCCAGCUGAAGCUAAUUGAUUUGAUUUAAAUCAGAGAAUGGCUUAGUUUGGAAGGAACCUGAAAGAUCAUCUAGUUCUAAUCACCCUGCCAUAGACCAGGUUGCCACUCACUAGAUCAGGCUAUGCAGGGCCCCAUCCAACUUGUCCUUGAGUGCUCCCAAGGAUGGGGCAUCCACAGCUUCUCUGGGCAGUCUGUGACAAUGCCUUAUUUCCCUCUAAGAAUUUCUGUAUGACAUCUAACUUAAAUCUCCCCUCUAAUGUCUAAAGACAUUCCCCCUUGUCUUAUUACUAUUAGACUAUGUAAAAAGUCCUUCUCCUUCCUGUUUAUAAGCUCCCCUUAGGUACUGGAAAACUAAAUGAUGUCUCCCCAGGACCUUUUCCAAGAUAAACAAGCCCAACACCCUCAACCUUUCUUCAUAAGAGAGGUGUUUCAGCACUCUCAUCAUCCUUGUGGCUUCCUCUGGGCCCACUCCAAUAGCUCUGUGUUUUUCUCAUGCUGGGGCAUCACAAGGGCAGAGUAGAAGGAAACAAACACUGCCUUCACCAUCUUGGCCACUUUUCUUCUGGGGCUGACCUCAGGAAUCGGAUUAGCUACUGCUUUGAAAAAGAAUGUAAUGAGAAGCUUUUAGAAACUUGCCUCUUGUGCAUGCAAGUAGUUAAUCUGCUUCACAAAAGAAUAACUAUCCUCCCUCAAAGUCAUCGCCUACUUAAAUUACUGUGUCCUUUCUGGCUACAUCUGGCUUUUCCCAAAUUGUAAGGAACAAAACUGCACUGUAUCUGUAGAGCUGUGUUUUUUCCAAUUGAGACUUAGAAUCCAGGAGAAAUCUGAGGCAUUUAUUUCACUUGUCAAAAAAUGCACUGGAUUUUGAUAUGCUAGUGCAGAAUGAAUCAAAGUUGGUUUUCAUGGACACUUUCAGUGAGGGAGAAAAUAAUUUCAUGAUCAACGCAGCACUUCCUGCAAUUGUUAUUGAUCCUAGUAAGUGCUGAUCGAUCACUUUCCCAGCAAUGAACCCUGAUUUUCUCUGUUUCAAAACAGAAUUGUUAACAGUCAUGAUUUAUUUUCCUGUCUUUUUUUCAUAUGUAAUCAAGAUCAGAUGUCAAGCUCAAUAAAUAAGUGUAUAGGCUACUGACAAUGCCAAUAUCCACUUUUUUAUAGGACGUAAAUAUUGUAUUGGAUGCACUACCUUCUUUCCAGAGUAUUAAUCUCGUUUUCCAUGCCAGCAACUGUAGAAGAGGGUAAAUGCGAACCAUUUCCUAUGUUUACUUUUUUAAUUCCCAAUUUGAUCUUUUUGCUAAAAUAGAAAUUUCCUAAAGCAAUUGAGUGAUUUAAGUGCCAAUUCUGAAAAUUACUUGGCAGUUUUGGGGACUGAAGUGCAGAAGGUGUGAAUUAUUAUUUAAAAAUCCAACCAAUAAAUCUCUCAAUAAGUAAGCCUAUUAUCUCUAAUAAAUUAAUUUCUAUCUUAAUCUGUAAUCCAAGUGUUCUGAAUGCUAUAAUAAAUUUCUUAGAAGUACAAGCAAACUUCAUACUCAUCUACCUUUUUAUUACUUUGGCACACAGAAAUCUUCAUAUUACUCUUCAUUUUUUAGUGAAAAGUGUCCACUGAUAAUACUCCAAGUAUCCCAUAGCUAAUUGACAUGUAGUCACUUCUUAGAUGAAGAGUGGUAAAUACUUCGCAUACCUCAUCACUCUAUUUUCAGUUUUCUUUCUGGCUCUCUCCCACAGACUUGUUUAGAAAUGUGAAGAUUACUCUGUCUGAUGGAGAUGUGGCAAAAUGGUGGAUUUUUUUCUGAAGCAUGUAAAAAAAAAAAAAAGAAGAAAGAAAAAAAGAAAAAAGGAUAAAACCCGUUGUCUUAACAUCAAGGAAAAUCACUGCUUAAAAUUACUGCCACUAUAUGACUUGAGGAUCUCUCGAGGUCCCUUCCAACCUCUGCAAUUCUGGGAUUCUUUAAUUUGUUUCGUAUGAUAGGCACCUGUCACUUUAAGUAUAUAUGGAAGAAAUAACCUUAAAAUAAUUAUAAGGAGGUCAAGAGUUAUGCAAUUUUCUUGAAAACAGAAUUGCAUUGUAUAUUCUGUAUCAGUCUUUGUUAUAGGUCAUGUUUUGGCUGCCAGUUGUGUUAAUCAACUCCAACCUACCUAAAUAUUUCUCUGUGAUAUUAUUAAUUCUGAGGUCAUUGUCAUUCUGCAAGUGAACUCCAAUACUUUCUCAUUCUUAAAUAGCAUGUAUCAUAGAAACAAUUCCAUUGUUCUAGUUCAAUACACUCAGCUCUAUUGCCUGCUAUAUGUUGGUUGGAAAAAUUUUAUUGGAACAAGCUUUUAGUGUAGAAGAUCUGAAAACAUAUUUUCAUCAAUAUUUUAGUGAAAACGUUCUUUCAAUUUUUGAAAUGGUUCUGUUUUCUGUAAUCUAUAUACCUGCUGUUAUUAAUCCUCACCGAGUAUACCAAACACCAAAAACACUAGCUAGCAUUCAUUCCACUCUGAGACUUCCAUCUAAUUUAGAUUACUCUUUAAAGUACAUCAUCAUCCCCUUUUUUCUUGUAAUUCCAGCUAUAUCUGAUGUCUUAUCAAACAGUGUUAUUGAACUGAAAACUUGCAAGGCUUGUAAUACUAUAUCAAAUAUGCUCUGAGGGAGUUUCUCAGUCUGAUACUGUGCUGUCAAAUGCAACUACUUAUAGUUUUACACUUGCUGAAGUUAGAAUUAGACCUUCUGGUGCAAUUGGAGAUGAUGAGUAAACUCCUGACAACCAGUAGAGGUAAGAAUGAGAUUAUGGAGAUAAGCGAACUGGAUGGGAGGUGUCUUGGAAGCAUGUCACUUCCCUUUUACUAAAUUCUGAAGGGGAUGACAGCUAAUUGAUUGCCUUUUGAGAGAAGUAAAACAAGGAAAAGAUUGAUCUUCUGUUUCCUGAAUGUGAGAGAAAGUUGUAGUGCUUGUUCUGGUAAGGAAGAAGCAAAUGGUCAUUCUUCCAAGGAAACCAGGUAUGAGGCAUGAGGAAGGAAAGCAUAAGAGGACAGAGUGUCAGUGCUUAUGAAAACUGACAGAUGUGAACCACAGUGUUGUGAAAAUGAGAGAAUGACCCAAGUCUCAGUGUGUAUAAGAUCAGUAUAUACCUCCACUUAGUUAAACAUCAGUGCUUUUGAAAUAUUUCUCUCCCCUCUGCUUUUCCAUUUGUUUGCAGUUAUAAAUCAUGGAUUCUGCUUCUGUACCUGAGUGAAAUGAGGAUCUACGUGUCUAUAUAAGUGCCAUUAUGUUGGUUCACAGAACUGUAAGAAAAAGAAAUCCUGAUGAAAUGAAACUUCAGAGUCCACCAGAGCAGUUCUGAUAUGCAAGUCAUACCUUGUCAUACAUUAUUAUAUUAUCAUUUUGCAAAAUACAAACAAAAGACAGGUAUGUUUCACAUCCUCUGGAGUAUUUAUAUAUUUAUAUAGUGGUAUUUUACAAAAUGCUUUGAAAAUUAUUUUGAAAGAAAAGAUUCAAAGAUUUUUGAGAAAAGUCCUUCUGAGUGCACAAGCACAACAAUGCAAGGCUUUUGCCCUUUCAUAUUCCUGUUUUCUUCCUAUACUUCACAGCCUUUGGAUUAUUUUGCCACCUUGAGGUUUUAGCUGGCUCUUGGCAGGCUGGCAUUUCCCUACACAGCAGGCACUGGCAGUGACAGGUGGGGAUGCUGGCUCUCUGCUGCUAUUUACCUGCUGCCUGUUUCUUCAGGAGCAGAGUCAGAUCUAUACAAAUAAAACAAGGGAAAAUGAUUUGGCAACUCAUAUUUUAAACCCCUUGCCUUUAUUUUCAUUAUUUUUGUAUUUUAUUUUUUUAAGAAAGUCAGGCUAUCAUUUUACCAAAUUUCCUGCAGUGGUGGUGUGAAUGAGUUCUCAGGGUAGCAUGGAUAAUGAGUUAUGGCCCAUGUACAUUUACUGGGCAGCUUAAAACUCAGCCUUCAUCAGCCUAUCAAAUGCCUCUGUUCAGAAGAACAGAUUAUCAAUUUGCAGUAAUGUGCAGUUCAUUUUUCAUCUUCCCAGGGAACAAUGGUGGGGGGAAAAAGUUAUUUUCCUGAAUCUCCCGUUUUUGCUGAACUGUGACUGCUCAGAACUCUAUAUCACUUUGUCCCUCUCCAAUUGGCAGUCUUCACUUCUAUGAUUCACUCUUUCAAAAACUCGUUUGCUCCCCAGAUGAAUACUCCUGUUACGAAAGAAGGAGUUUGCCUUAGUACAAGUAACUACAGCUAUCCUUUUGUUAGACAAUUUGGUGGGUGUUUGCUAUUUAGGUUCAAUGAGCAAUGCAAACACCUGCUGCCCAGGAGGCUGCGGUAAGAACAUAGAGAUUCCUUAUUUAAGUGAUCGAUACACAAAGAAAGAGAGGAGGUACAAGAUCAAACCAAGCCCAAGGGAGACACUAUGAUCUUGAUUCAACAAGUUGAACCCAUUUUGUGCAUAUUUCCUUAAGAAGAUCAAAUAACAACGGUGAGCAAUAAGUAAGAAAUGUGGCAAAGAGGAUAUUUGUGGGAAUUUUGUUGUUAUGUUUUGUUGGUUUGGUUCGUUGGUUUGCUGUUCUGGGGACUGGUUUGUUUGGUGUUUUUUCCCUUUUCUUGCAAUCCUGUCUUCAGACUUCUGUCUGUUUCUUAAAUCAGCCUUAGCACACACUGAGAGGAUUGUACUCCUGACUGUUGAGUACCCAGUCUGGGCCAAAAGAGAUGGCUGAUCUCCAAGGCCAUUUGUGUGGCACUUCUUAUGAAUUAUAUGGUCAUUUAAUAUUUCUAAAAUCUAGGCAAAUUCCUUGUGUUACUUCAUUUAAUCUGAAUAUUAAUCACAUGAACAGCAGUGAUCAAAUUCACAUCAAGAGAUGUAGGAAAGCCAGAAAAUGGUAAUCAAUAAAAUUGUAAACAAAGUUCAAGGAAAAAUGCAUGUGAAAAGUCAAGAUAAUAUCAAAUAACACUUUUACAUUUUCCAUUUUCAGUGGCAUUUCAGUUUGAUUUUACAUGAAAUGAGCAGGCAGGCUGGAAAACAGACUGAUGAAAAACAAGCGAAAACAAAAGAAACAACGGUGGGAAAGAUUUGAAAAGGCAAGGCAUAAAAAUCUAUAAAUAUGAAAUGUAAUGAAAAGAUAUAUUACAAGGUAAUACAGAAGACACAGUAGGAAAACUGACUUUUUCCCUAUAUCUCACAAAAUUCCACACAACAGGUCCUCUAGCCCCAGGUGAUAAAACUAAUGCUCAGUUUCAAGCAGAUAAUAUUCCCUAAUGCAGACAGCAUUUCAGCUACAUUCUUGUCCAGCUAUCCAUGUUCAUGUUGUCUAUUUUAUCUCUUGUCACAUCCUGUGUGCUAUAACAAGAAUUCUGAACCAUAUAAAUUCAAUACAAUUAUUUCCAAAUGUUGCUGAGAUAUCCACUUUGUUCCACUCUCUCAGAGCAUUAUUGCCCUGUCCACAGCUUGCUGCCUUUCUAAUAUCUGAUCUGCCUAAAUUUGUACCUCCUAUCUCUCAUGAUUUCAGAACUUUUGAGUGAUUUUCUUGUUCCUGGUUCCCUGGCUUUUUCUUCUCCGUUCUCCCUGUCAAAGUAUGAUAUGCAGUGCUUGGAUUCUUCCCUCUUGCAUCUGUUCUUACCUGGCAGCUCAUCUGGGGCUUGUGGUUUCUGACCUCAAUAGAAGAACUGACAUCUCUCUUCUUGGUUUGGGAAAGAGCAAAAUUUCUUUAUUAGAUUCUUCUUCCUAAGGGAAUGGAGCUUAUAUUAUUAUGUUGUCUGCACCUGUCAAGAGCCAUCCCUUCCCCCACCCUCUGAAUCAAUACGCCUAUUUCAAUCACAUUGCCUAUUUCAACCAAAUCUGACACAGGGUAGAAAUUAAGUUUUCCUAAGUUUCACGACAGUAGGAAUUUAGGUAGACAAAGAUCAUCUUGCAGAUGCCUAAAUUGAAGGCGCCUCUAACCUCUCUUAUUGUAUAUAGGAGAAUCUAUACUGAAAGUAGUUUAAUCAAUGGCCAAGCAGUAGAGAUGCUUAUACCAGCACAAUCAGUUCUUUCUUAUAUGGCUGGGUCAAUCAAUUCUGACACAUAAAUCUAUGCAGCAUCGCUAUUAUGCUUACCAAUGCUCAAACAAAUUCCUGCCUAUUUUUAAUAAAAACAGUAACUCUCCAGCAUCAGCUUUUCCCUUUGCCCUGAACAUCACAGGUGGAAUUCAGGUAAGUGUCACCCCAGGCCUCUGCUGCAAACUUGGGGAAAAUGGCCCACAGUUUCAGAGGAUCAGAUAUGGAUCUAGGCUACCCAUUUAAAUAAAAGUAGCAGUGGCUUGCCAGGAAAUAAUUGUGCACAUUGGGAAUUUUUUUUCUUUUUUAGCAGAUGAAGUACAAGUAGUUCAGCAUAUCUGUAAGCAAAACAAAUUACAAAGGUUCCCCUGCAGCAUAUGUUUCACUUUUCCUUUCAAAAAAAGCAUAAUAUGUUUAUGAAAUUAGGGUACUCCCCCAAAGGGCCUUGAAUAAUGAUAAGAUAUAUGAAAUAUAACUACUGUAGGCUUUGAAACCAGUGUUGCAGAGAUAAGGAUUUAGCAAGGAUGUAGCUCAGUCAAACCUGAUUAAUUUGUGCCUGGUUGUGCCUAAGCAACCAAAACAUUUCACUGGCAGGCAGAGCAAAUGACAAGCACUGUAUGUGCCACUGCAUUAUUAGUCUAGAGGGGAUAUUUUUUAAUAUUUAUAAAAAUACUUUGCAGACUGAUUUACCCUAACUAGGUCUAUCUGUAUUACCAUUAUCUUAUCACAUCCUACAGUGAUAUAAAACAUCAAAACUGAAUUAAUCAUAAUAUGACAUAAAAAAGAAAAAAAAAGUAGAAACUACUGUGCUGUCUUAAAACACUGGAGAUAACAAAUUGAAUUUAUGGUUGUUGGUUGAGAAGAUAACAAAGACAUUGUAAUAAAAAUCUGUCAAUAAACAUCAAAACAUUUUUUAAGAUUUCUGUGCUCUUUUCUUACAAACAUUUAAAGAAUUCAGCCUUCACUGAAAACAUGGAGUUUGGAACAGAGUUACAUUUAAUAGGAAUUGACAAGCUUGGUGACUUUUUAGCAACCUAAGAAGUUAAGAAUUGAAAUUGGAAACAGAGACAUGACACCAACCACCUCUUGCAUCUUUAGAAACUUGUGACAUUACAGCACAAACAAUAGAAUCACCAGGGUUGUAAAUGACCUUUAAAAUCAUCCCGUACAACUAUCUGUAUAUCAUCAAUAUUUCCCACUAAACCAUGUCCCUCAGUAGAACUUCUAAACAUUUCUUGAACACCUCCCUGGGUAGCCCAUUCCAGUACCUGGCCACUCUCUUGGAGUAUUUCCCAAAGUCCAGUGGGAAUCUCCCCUUGUGCAACUUGGGGCAUUCCCUCUAGUCUUAUUGCUAGUUACGUGGAAGAAAAGUUGUAGAAAACAAGAGUUACAUUUCUGAUUGAAAAGAAUCAGUAGAAAUCAGAUGCUGUUCGGGUGUAGAGAAAGCACUGGCAAAAACAAUAAUUUUUCCUGUUGUUGAAAUAUUUAAAUCCUUUUUUGUACAUCUCUUCAUUUUCCCUCACAUACAAAGAAGAAGAUUGAAGACAGGUUUAGAUCAAACUAGAAGAUGGUCAAGGACUUAUCUAAAGCACUUCAAUAUGAAAGUGUCUAGAAUACUAGAACUAUCUAGGGAGAUAGAAAAACUUCAAAUAUUGACUUGCCUUUGGAUUGGCUUAUAUUCAUUCCUUACAAUAAAUCUGACUUAAACUUAAUACUUUUCAGGAAACACUAAGACUUUCUUGACUUGCAGCUGACUUCAAGAAACAUGGGGAAAAUGCAUUUUAAAAAAGCAUCAGUUGAGAACAGAAACAGAUUUUGAAGGAUAUUUCUAAAAUUACUUUCACUUGGUACUAUACAUCCACUGAUAAAACUUGAGAUUUUUAAGUUCAAAAGAUCUGACCUUGGCUACUGGAUGCCAGCUACAUAACUGACAGUUGAGUGUAAUGGUAAUUGAGUCUACUGGUGAGGUCUUCAAAAAGAGAUUGUGGUAAUAAACUCUUUUUCAGAUAGCUAGUACAAAUUUAUGGUCAGCUUGAGAAGGGGGAAAGGGUAAGGAUAACAGCAAUGUUGGACAAACAUGAAGGGAUCUGGGACAUAGAAAUAAAUACAGUAUUACAGAAAAGGCUGCUGCUCUGAGAAUCAAUAUGAUAUUAAUCCAUCUUAUAGUCAUAGGAAAAUAGAAUUUAUUGAAUUUCAGAGGACAAAUCUGGUGAAGAACAGAGUACUCAUCCCUGGAGGUUUUCCAGAAAUGUUUGGACAGGAUACUAAUGGAUGUGGUCUAGUGAAGGAACUUGGUAGGUCAGGUUAAUGGUUUGACUUGAUGAUCUUGAAGAUCUUUUCCUACCUAGAUGGUACUGUGAUUGUAUAAAAUAGUAAAUUGACUUUAAUUUGCAUUUGCUAACUAAUCAGAGGUGAUAAGGUCUUGAAAUUUCAAAUGUCAAAAUGUACUUGACUUCAUGACGUAUAAACUGUUCUGUUUUUAGUGUAAAAAUAAUUCUAACUUCAGAAGGAUUACAAAAAACAGCUUAGAUCAUGUCUUUGCUGAACUGAAGUUUUAUGUUUUUUUCUUUUUCCUUUAGGCUAAAGUAUUAGAGCUAUCCUUUGUGUGACAGAAGACAAAGAACAUAGGUUUUGCCGUAACAUAGAUUAGAAAAGGUUGAAAUGUUGACCAUAAUGAUUCACCACCUUGCAACAUUGCAGUGUACCUUUUUUUCCUGCAUUUUCACCAUAUUGUUUUCUAACCACAGAAUAUCUUAUGAUUACCUCAGGUGAAAAUUUUUACAUUCCUGGUGAUGAGAAGAGACCACAGGAACUCAGAGAAGUAAGAAGCAUCUGACCUAUUCAUCUGAAAAUUGAACUAAAGUGCAUUCAGUAUUCAGUGGGACAAUGGCCUCAGUCACAGGGAGAUUUUUUGCAACACUAAAAGGAUUGUGAACAAAAGACAGCAAAGGCAGAUUGAGCAAUGGUUCAGGGAAAUUGUGUGGGCAGGAAAUACAUUGAAGAGAAAUUCUAGGUAUCCGCAUGCUUAAGCUUUAGGCUGAAAUAUGCCUGGAGAACACUUUGUUUGUUUUGAAUAUUUAAUCUUUGCUUCUAUUGAAAGUUCUAACAAUAAAAAAAUAUACAAAAUCUAGAUAAAGGCAGAUUAAGUUAAUUCAUUAUUGCAGUUUAAGAUAAAUCAUCCUUUUUUUGUUCUGCAAGGCCUUAUAGUUUCUUCUACACAAGAAAUAAAACAGAGCUUAGUAUCACUGUACCACUGUAAAAGUUAUAUAUAAGGUUUUACAUUAGCAGACCUAGGAUCUGAAGUGUCCUUCUCAUGUUAUUGCCACUGUAGACUUCUCAGAGCCCAUUAUUCUGGGAGUCACAGAAUCACGGAAUGGGUGAGGUUGGCAGGGAUCUCUGGGUCCAUCUGCCCCAACCCCUGCCUGUGUGGGGACACCCAGAGCAGGAUGCCUGGGCUCAUGUUAAGGCAUCUUCUGAAGAAUUGUAACUCCACAACCUCUAUGGGAAUCCUGUGCCAGUGCUCAGUCCCCCUCACAGAGAAAAAGUACUUUCUGUCUUUUAUUCUCUGGAAAAGAUCAGAGCACCAAGAAUUUACUAAUAUUUUUUGCAAUAUUUCAGUACAUUCUAAAGAAUAAACUACCGAGUUUGCCUAAUUGUCCACUUUAAUAUGUCUUAAUAAUAUCAGGAGCAGGAAGGCUUUCCUCCACAGGCAUAGUUGAUAAAACCUCUUCAAGAACAGCACCUCAGUUUCCUGGGCCUAAACUCGUCCAUGUGUUGCAACUUGCUGUGUUGCAUUCCAUCUGCAGGCAAAUGCUGGCAAAACUGUGACUUUUGCCAACAUCAAAGAACAGGUGAGCCCAGAUUUCUUUCCAGGCUUAUUCACAGAUUCCUACUAUUUAACCACAGUCUGAGAUCAUGAUUUCUGGUUAAAUACAAAGCUAGGAAUAUUUCACAGGCUGUCAGUUUCUUUCAAAAGCAUUACUCUUGGCUCUCAUAAGCAUAUUAUGAAUCAAUAUUUUCAGGGCUUGGGCAAACUGUACUGAUAAUACUGCAAAUAAACAAAUCCCUCUAACAUUAAUUUUUAAUACAAGAACAUAAACAGAACCACCUACUCUGGCUCUUGCAAGCCCACCCUUUCCACAGGGACACUGAAGAAUCACAGAUUUUAAAAGUGUCCUACUGCUGCCAUCUGGCCGCCAGCCUCCUGCUGAUCCCAAUUGGCACUUACAGCAGCAGCAGUCAGGAAAGGAGCAGCUUCCACAAGUGCUGAUUUAGUGCCUUAGGAGACAGAUUGGUCGUGACUGAGGGUAAAAGGAUUUUGAAACACAGGAAGGGAAGGGAAGGGAAGGGAAGGGAAGGGAAGGGAAGGGAAGGGAAGGGAAGGGAAGGGAAGGGAAAUCUGCAGACAGUAGACAAGCUAGAUGAAGAGGAUAAGUGGGAGAGACUAGGCUGAAAAGAGGAAUUUGAAAGGACUUUAGAAUGGUACCAAAAUUAUCAUAGAAUGGAAACAGCAGCAGGCGAAAUCUAAAUUUCAUUUUUUCUCAUUUUCUCUGACUAUGAAAUAGUAGUACCUAUAUCCUUCCAUGAAAUUUUAUAGGGCAAUUGUGCUUUAAGUGCAAUACAUAAAUCUUCUACCUGAUCUGGGAAAUAGUUUCAAACUGAAAAAAAAGGGAGAUUUAGAUUGGAUUUAAGAAAGGCAUUUUUUACAAUAAAGGUGGUGAGGCACUAGAACAGGUAUGCCAGGGCAGUGGUGGAAGCCCUGUCCCUGCAGACAUAUGAAGUCAGGCUGAAUGGGGCUCUGAGCACCUGAUCUAGCUGUAAGUGUCCCUCUUGAUGGCAUGGGAGUUGGACAAGAUAACCUUCAAGGGUCCCUUCCCUUUCAAACAAUUCUAUGAUUUUAUGAUUCUGUAGAAAUAAAUUAUUUGCCUUUAUAUAAACUCUGCUUUAAUUGAAUGGUUUUGACCUCACAUAUUUGCACUUCCAUCAUGAGUGAUAUGUGGAGAAGACAGAAGCUAAGAAGGAAUGAGAUUGACCAAAGCCCAGCCUUGGUACAGUGGCUUCCAUAGACGUGCAUUUGUGCAAAUGAAUUCAGGGCUAGGUCUUCUACAUGUGAGUCAUACCAUUUGCCCCAAAUUAUGCAGGUGAAGCUGCACAUGCUCAGAGGGGACUCUGAAGCUGUGGGCUUUGGGUUCUCAUUUAGUUUAAUUUAGGUCAUUGGUGGAAGUCAUUUACAACUGUCAACCAUUGAGAUCUGUGUGAAAGCCACCCCACAAUGUGACAUUGUUAGUUAUUUCUUCUAAGAGGUAAAGUCUUAUUAAAACAGCAGGAAUGCUGCAGUGUAAUCAGAUGUGGAGUGCCCCUUGCUGGUGUAGUGUCAGCAGACUUGCUCUGUGCUAUGCCAGACAGAGCUCUGCCUUCCUUGUCUGGUCUGGUGUCAUUUCUCUCUGCAUGAAGCCUUGUGUCUAGCUGAGGGAUUGCUGACAUCAGAGCACUCAGGAAAGUUAAGUUAAAACACAGUAAACCCCUGUGUGGAUGCUUUCUCUUAGAAGCAAAGGAUGAUCCUGUUCCCUGCAGUUUAAUCUGUGAGCUUGAAGCCACAGUGCUUCAUCCCGAAAGGGUCCCAAAAAAAUGUCAUUUCUUGGCUCAAUUAGCCUUACAUUUUGGAGGCUGUCACCCUCUAAGUGUUUAAGCAGUAACAUUAAAAUGAGGAUUUCCUACCUAUUGUUCCUACCUAAUUCUUUCUGGCCAAGGCCUCUGUGACAUAUGAACAGCUGGAGCAGAUAUGACACAUCUGUGCCUCCCAAACCCCAACCUAGGAAGGGCCAUGAACUGCACUUCCCUUUGUUUCAGAUCUGCUUGUGCAAGGGCUAAGUAAAACAUGAGGGAAAAGCCUUAUCCAUGUUCUUGUCAAAUUUUUCAGAAUAAAAAAAAAAAAAAAAAAAAAAGACCCUGAAAGAACAAUUUCACAUUCCAGAAAAAUCAGAAGAAAAAUGCAGGAGAAUUUAACCUUCCAAGAGCUCCAUUCUGUUCUGACCAGACUGCUUGUGGUAGAAAAGCUUGUUUACAGUUAGCUUGGGUUUCUCUGUAUAACACCAUAGACUGCAGCAUACUUACAUCAAGAGCAAUUACUGAAAAAACGAUGUCCUCAAGCAUACCUCUAAAUAGAUGUUUACUUGGUUUUGUCCUUUUUUUUUUUUUUUUUUUUGCUUGUGGUUUCCUAGUUUGGACUACCUCCUUUGGUCUUUGGAAAGUUAGCUUACAUUCUGGGUACGAACACUUCCAGUUUGAGUAAUGAAAGUAAGCAAGGUGGAACACAAUUCCUGAUCCCUGCCUACCUCAAAAACAUGGUGAGCAUUGAGGUGUACCCUCCUUCAGAGCACUGAGCUGCCUCACUUGAAGAAACUUCCUGCUCUGCUGGAGUCCAGGGACUUGCUGCGCAAUGUGCCAGGCUCUGCCUGUGUGCUGCAUAAGAGAGCCAAGAGAGAACUGAACAGUCUUUUACUCUGCUCAGAAUUCAGAGCACUUUCCUAAAUCUCACCCAAAAUAAAGGUAGGUUUAGCCAUUUUGUUACAGUUGCUGUUUGCAACAUCUUAUUUACUUACAAUUACGUAACAGGUGGUUUAGAGCAGUAUUUCAUAAUAUAAACGGUGAGCUGAGUACAGAAAACAGCCAAAGUAUACAGUUUGUCAGCAAUCUGUGAAGUGAAUAACGUAUAUUAAGAAAAGUCACAUUGGGUUAAUAAUACUGUGAACAAUUGCUUUGAAUGUAAAAGAAUUUAAGACAUCCUUCUCUGGAACCCUUUGAAACAUCUAGCAGUAGGCAACCCCCUUCUCAGUGUUCAGACUUCAUGGUUAGGCAUACUAAGGUGCUCCACACUUAGGAGAUUGAUGUGCUAGAUUGUCUACAGAACAGGAAAAAAAAAAAGAAAGAAAGAAAAAAAAGGAAAAAGAAAAAAAAAGAACAGAAAAAAAGGGAUGUCAUUCUGAGGAUGAGCUUGUGACCUACAUUGCAAUCCAUAAAUUUAAGUCCCUUUUCACUAGAAAAUACAGAGUAAUAGAUUCUUAAUAGGCAUUUGGAUCAGCCGUCAUUCUCAUUUUUUGCCUAACUUAUUGUUUGAUACCUUUCUCUGUCUCCUUAUACCCAUGCCUCUACUCUUCUGUAUGAUUGCCUCUAAAACCAAAUCAUUGCCUCCUGUGAAUUUUAGGACCUUUUUUUCCAAAAAAUGGUUGCAGUGGAUAAAUUGUUGUCAUAUGCAAGUUAGAAAUCUGCCACAGAUACAUGUAUUUGCAGAAGACGAAUAUGACAACAGUGCGAAACUUUUGUGUAUGUAGUCCUCAAGCUUCUUGUUUUUGAAGUACUUGGAGACUUAGUACUCACAAUAAUGAGUACGCUAUGUGUUACAGCAUUAUGCCUUCCAAACAUUAAUUAUGAAUCCUGAUCAUUAUUUCAAACGUAUGCUCUGGGUGCCCAACUAUUUGGCAGCACCUACCUGAGUGCAGUUCUCAUCAACAUUGUCACGUUACAGUAUCUGAAAUUGCUUUUGUAUAAAGCCAUCCAUCUGGUACUCUGUUUUAUUUUAUUCUUUGCUUAUUUAGAUCAUAAUCACAGUUGUGAGGUAUCAUGGUAACUAUUUACUUGAUAUUGAUCUUAUGUGUAACAUCUGUUGAAAAUGCCUGAUCUGAAUGUAAUUAGGCAGCUUUUUGUUGUUGUUGUUGUUUUAUUCUGAGUCAGGCAAUAUUCUUGUGCAAGAGCAAUUUCAUGUUUCUCAGGUGGCUGGUGGUUUAGCUCUGAGAAUGGCACUUAGAGGUGGAAACAUUAGCCAAGAUUAUAAAGUUGCUUGUUCAGUUCUUAACUAUUCUAGUUUUACUGACUCUACAGACUAUUAUGAAAUUAGAAUUAAUUUUGUCUUAUGACUUUCUAGACUUUAGAAGUCUUUAUAUCUGAUGUGGAACAGUACAGUUUUGUGUGUUUGAAUGCUUUGGCUGUGCUCAGCCCCUGAAGAACUGAAGUGGUAUUUUAACCUCUUAAAGUGAAAUAAAAUUCAGGCCCAUGAGAGACAGAGGUAACACUGAUCAUCAUGUCUAAUUUCUGAUUUGCAUUUUGCUUUUUCUUACUGCAGUAAUAAGUACAGGGAAUAAUUCUCUUCCAUAUAAGUGGUAAUACAUUGUAUCAUUUUAGCCCAAAUGAUUUUCCAGCAGAGGGACAGAGACAAGGGAGAAAUUAAGAGUUUUGCCCAUUUAAGACUUCUUUCUCACAAGAUAAACACCAUAGAAAGGGUAGGGACUUGCGGAGUUUAAAACAGAUUUAUAAUCUCCACACCCCAGCAAUUAUAAGGAGCUUUCUUGGAAAUCUUAUUCCCUGUGCUCUUGAAAGUUCACUCUUUACGUUUUAUUCAGUGUAUAAAACAAUACAUACAAUUGGAUUGUGUUGCUGCAGUGGAAAAUCAGAAAUUUAAGAAGAUGGGAAUAACACAUGACAUUAAGAUUGUGGCUCAGCGUAGGAAAAAAAUGGGAAUUUUUAUGUCAUACCUGCUUUUCCUUCUGCUCAUCCUUUACUAAUGUUCCCCUCUGAAAUACUUUUAAUUUAUAGACAGCUUAUACAUGGCACAUGAACCUCAUAUUUCAGGUAUCAGCUCUCAAGUUCAGAUGAAAAUGCCUUAUGACCCUGUGGACCAACCAUAAAAGUGAUACACACACAUAUCUCACUGACUAGGAAUAAGCAAAUUUUAUAGUAAUCUUAAUUCAUUCUUUUAAAAGGGCUACUUUCAUGAGAACUACAUUAUUAGACCAAUUGAAAACAAACAGCCCACAAAAUCUUGAAAAAUCUCUGUGAUUUUUCUUGAACUAAAGCUAUUUUCAAGCUACUUCUCCUACAUCUUGAAUCUAACCAUUUGCUCUAUUACAUGGCUCAGGUGCUUAGCCUACACACCAGAAUGGUAUGACUGCAGACAUCACAGCCACAGCUGUUAAAUAAUGAAACAGUUUUUCACAGGCAUCAAAGUUCUGCAAAUAAACCCCCCAAAUUUCAUUAUUUACUGUACACGUAUACUAUACAUGUUGUAAGUACCUCACAUAGGUUAUGUAUAGAUGUAUGUAUAGCUUUGCAAGACUCAAAUGCAAGUCUUGCAUCUGAGAAAUGACCUCUUAGCACUUAGAACUGAAGGCAGUUCUCAGCUCUCCCACAGACUGCCUGUGGCUUGCAGGAAGAGAUGAAGAACCACAAGAAGCUGUGGACUCGCCUGCCUUCAAAAGAUUAAUGAGAAUUUAAAGCCAACUACUCUCCACGUUUCUCAGAUGUGUUGCAGAGUCAAAGAAGAGAGGAAGUUAUGAUAUCUAAUCCAAAUACUAGCAUUAGUUGAUCUGCUAACAAUAGAUCCCCUUUCUCUGGAGAUUUCUUCCUCAUGGUGUGUACAUUUCUAAGUCCUAAGCAAAGAGACAUGGUGUAUGUGAAUAUGCAGGUGGAUUUGCGGCCUCUUCUAUCAGUUCUUUCGCACAGUAACUGACAACAAUCAUUCCUACAGACUAAUAUUUGACAUUUUGGAUCAUUACACAAAAAUGCAAUUGAAAUUAAUUAAUUUGAAGAAAUUUGGAAAACUGUACUUCACAAAGCCCAUUAGAUUAGUGUUCUCUGUGUCAUGAGAUUGUGGCAGCGUGUUACUUCUGGUGGAUGUGGCAUUUUGCAGGAUUGUGCCCUUUCUUCAGAUGAUUGUUUUUUAUGUCUUUUCUGUUCCCAGGUCUCCCUGUUUCUCUUUUGCUGUCUAUUAGAGUAAAUAUAUUCAAUACAAGAAGAUUAAUUGAACAAGGGAAAUGUUAUAAGUCUAGGCAAUAUUUGGCCAUUUAUCAGUAAGACAAGAAAUUGUCUUUUUUAACCUAUAAAGGAAAAUGAUUGAUUUCGAAAAUGAAACUUCAGUCAUCCUUCAUUGUUUUAGUUGUGCAGUGAUCCAAAGUCCUCUAUUGAACUAAAAAUGCCCAAAAGGUUGUUCCCUCUAUUCGUUAGAUCUCUUGGCAUUUUUUGGCUUGUUCUUUUUGUUUGCUUGUUUGCUUUCAAGUGAAACAGAAGCUUGAGAAGCAGCUAAUCACAUUGCUUUUGUGCAGUUACUUUUAUUCUUUUUAUUAUACAACCAGAACCCGAGGAAAUGGCCACAAGUUGUAUCAGAGGAGGCUUAGGUUAGACAUAAGGAAAAGCUUUUUCUCUCAGAGAGUGGUCAGGCACUGGAAUGGCUGCCCAGGGAGGUGGUGGAGUCACCAUCCCUGACAGUGUUCAAGAGGCGUCUGGAUUAGGAGCUACCAGAUGCGAUUUAGUGGCUUGUGGUAGCAAGGGUAAUGGGAAGCCAGUUGGACUAGAUGAUCUUGUAGGUCCUUUCCAACCUUGUGAUUCUAUGAUUCUAUGAUUCCCAGAGUAAGUAGAACCAGAAGAGCAGGAAAACUUGAGGAUCAGCCAUGCACCUUGGUGACCUUUGCUCACCAUUGCAAUGUUUAUUUCACAACAGGGAGGGUAACCCAGAUAUAUUUUCAUGUAAAUUGCAUUCAAGACCCAUUACAUUUCUAAUAAAUCCCAUUUUUACUUAAUAGAGGUAAACGGAAAAAAGUCAUCAGAUAACAAUUGCAGUGAAAAGAGACAUUGACAAUGAUUAUAUCAUUUUACCAUAUGCUAAUUAUUCUACUUUCUGAGGAAACAAAGGAAGCCUGGUGGUUUUUCCUUUCUAUUUUGUUUUCUUUAUUGACUUCAGUGAAGUGGAGGUGGCAUCCAUCACUGCUGCAGAUGACUUGGACUGACUCCCAAGUAACUCAUGUCAGAUUUUGAAUAGAUUCAGUUUAAUCUUUCUGGAAAGACAUUUAGGAGUCUAUUGUAACUGCUGAAGGCCCCAUAUCUUCUUCUAGAUGGAUUUUAUCACAGAGUUGAUACCCGGUCAGUUUCUCAAAUGGUAGAUACUCAAUUGUUCCUUUUCCAUCUGUUGUCAAUAAGUACUCAAAAACGAAGAGGUGCUGUGAAUGAACUUUAGAAAAGCAAGUUUUUUUUUUUUUUUUUUAACAAGUUAAAGUCAGGAGGCUAAGAUAUUUACCCCUGAAAUUCUUUACUCAAUUGUCUGCAGAGUACGCCAAGGAAACACAUUUUUCAGCUACCCAUAGAGAUUCAGGGGACAAAAAAAUUAUGAAAAGAUGUUAGAUUCUGACAAAUGGAUCUGAAUAAGUUGUAACAUGGGUACAUGUAUUUGAAAGGACAGUAAUUAAAUAUAGACUAUUUAAUAUAAAACAGAGCUUCCCCACAUAUUUGACUCAAUGGCAACAUAGUAUGAGAAUUUGGAGAAUUAUAAUGAAGAGCUAUAAAAAUGUUCUGGCAUAAGACAUUUGCUACUUUACUGGAAGUAUGGACAAGAUUCCCAAUGAAUAAAAUAUAAAUGAUGUACAAUUUAGUUACUGAAACUGCACUAAAGUGUUUGCAGAAAAGAAAAUUAAACUUUCUGCAAUAUCAAAAUGUCUAAUAAUAAUAGCAUCCUUCUUUUAAAUGCUACAAAUCAAGCUGUCACUUCCUAUCAUGCAAUUUGAUUGUUACAUUUCCUUUUUCUUUUGAAGAGCCUUGUGGGAUGAGGGCAGAACAAGAGCUGUCAAUUUAUGACAAAAAACAUUUCAUAUUUGAAGUCACAAAACUCAGAAUAGGUGAUGAGAUCUGGAAAAAAAGCCCUCAGUAGUUUUCCCCAUGGGAUUAACAAACAGUCAAAAUUGUUGAUAUUUCCUAUAUAAAAAUUUAUAUAGCAAGGAGAGUUCAUGGUAUUAGAGCAAAACUAGAGUUUUCCAAUAGUUUUAAUAUGUUGAAACUAAGUUCCCUCACCUCAGCUGUAAAAGAGCCAGAGUAAUUUGGGAUUGUGUCCUUUAUGCAUGAGAGCAAAUAAAGAUGCAGCUAUUUUUUAAAGAAUAUCUGGAGAAAUUAGAUAAAGUUUUAAACACUGAACUACUCAUGCCUCUUUGACAUUGCCCUUACUUUAGAGUUCUUUGAGACCUUCAGACAAGGAGUAUAAUUCAUAAUUAUCAUAAAAUAAUUUACAUUGGAAGGAAGCUCUGGAGAUCACAUGGUCCAACCUCCUACUUAAAGCUAGACUGAACUUGAAGGAAUCCCUAAAUAUUUUUAUUGGGAUAUUUAGAUGUUGUUGUCCUUUCCCAUUUAAACAGAUUUGCAUUUAAAAAAGCAGCUUUGCAGUAGAAGAUCAAACUAGGAGUUAGAAUACCUGUAUUAUGUCAAUGACCUUUAUGUAGGAGAUAGAAUAUUCACACUGAUAACUUAUUUUCUAAUUUACUCGUUUGAUUGACUGUUCCGUGACUGCAGUGGCUGGGGAAAUAAAUCCUGUGUAACUGAAGAAAACCAGGAAGAAAAUGAGCAGUGUUUUCAAACAAUCACUGUGUGAGACUUUGGCCACCAUACUUCAGUGCUGAUUAUUUAUUUCCUCCACAAGAAAUAUACAUUAGUGUAACAACUGUUUUUGUUGUGGUGGUGAGGAGCAGUGUUUGUUUUCCUGCAUGUUUAUUCUAUUUUAUUUUUAUUUCUGAAGUAGUUACCUUCAUACCACAAGGACAAGAAAUUUUUUUCUGAUUUUAAAUAUAUUGUUUGAUUUUUCUCAAAAACAUUAUUGACUGGAAAUGUCAGUGACCAUGAGUCCCACUCUGUAUGGAUCAGUUAUUUUAGCUACACAUUGUUUUGGAAAUAUGGAGGCCUAUUGACUGCAUUCAAAAUAAAACUCUGCAGUGCUGCUGUAAGCAUUCAGUGAAUCACCUAUUGUAAAUUUGUUUGUGGAAGCAGUUUAACUACAGUAUCUGAAAAAAAAAAAUCAAUGGCAUGUGCUAGUUGACCUUUAAGUUAGCAUCUGUAAAAAAAAAUGUUGGUUUAGUAACUAUAGUCUUUGUACAACACAACAAAUGUGUUUCUGCAGCUAUUAAUGAAUGCAUUCUAAUAAUUUUGAAUAUCAACAUUCAAAAAAAUGUCAGCAAGAUCUCAGUUCUUGGAAUUCUUACUCAGUGCAGUGACUCAUAGCAUUAAAUUCAAGACUUAGUACAGACUUAGUACCCAGGCUAAGCAUUUUUGUUUUGGGAUUUUUUGUAUCCUCUAUAUUCAAGGAAAACAACUAUUUGCUUAAACAUUCAUUGUACAGCUAAAUGGCUAUUUAUGGAUUUUUCAGCUACUAGAAGAUCUAUGAUUAUUAGCUAGUCUCUCGUGUCAAAGUCCUUUUGUUUUCCCAGAGGUUGAUGUUCAAGUAAAUAUACCUACAGAAUGAGCAUAUGAAGUAGUGCUGUGUGAUGUCUACCUCAGACAGCUGUGUUAAUAACUUUUUUUUUUUUUAAUGGCUAUGCUAAACACAAAACUCCACUUCUUCUCAGUGGUCCUUUUCAAUGUUGUGUACAAGUAGCCAUGAGAACACUUCAGAACAGUAUGACAUUUUGUACCUAAAUGAAAAACAUUUUGGCAAGCUUAUUUUAACUCCACAUCCACUGUUCUCCCAGGCCUAAGCACUCAUUAAAGAUUCUAAGGAUUUAAAUUUUAAACAUGAGCUCCCAGUGAAAAUUAAAUUAUUCCUAUAUUUUCAUUUCAUUUCAUACCAAUAAUAGUGUGUAAUGUGAAAUUUUCCAGUCCCGUGUCAAUACACUGAGUUCUGAACCAGAAGUUACUACAAUGAGCUGAAGAGCUACGAGUGACAUCAGUUAUCCCCAUAAAAAGAAUGCCAAUUAGAACAUUGCUCGCUGAUAAAAACAUUGCCUGACGUAGCCAUAAUUUCCUGAGAUAAAAGGGACAGUGUAGGCUAGCCUACAAACCACAGCUUUGAGAAAGAUAUUUCUGUUGUAUAGGAUAGCCUCACUAUGGGUGCAAAUAGAGUGUAUGCAAAGUUUUCUUUCCUUAUAGUACACAGUUAGUUAUAUCAGCAAACAUCUUUGUUUUAUUACUUUCCUUCUUUCACAUUUGAGUUUUCAAUCAAUUGUUGCCUUACCCAAGGACUUCAAGCCAGAUUUUGAAGACUACUCACCAGGUACUUUCAGUAUCAGGCUGCAAGUGACAAAAACGGGGACUGAACGUGGUACAUUUUUCUACUGUCUCCAACUAUUUCUGACCUCCUCAGGAAUAAAAAGACUCAGAAAUGAUCACCUCUCUGCAUAAAAUCCUGAAGUCAAACAUGAAUAAAAUGGAUAAAACUCACCAUUCUGAAUACUAUACAGGACUUCUGAUAUGGGAGUUGUCUAAAUGAAAUGGAGGACUGGAGGGAAGUAUGAAGUGUACAAGGAACCUUCCUACAUUGGCACAGCCCCUUCUUGACCUGGUUGUCUGGUAUUUGUAAAUGUUUUCAAUCAACUCUCUAUGCCCGUAUUACCUCGCUUCAAUUUUGUUCUGAGCAGCCAUACAUCUGUGCACCACAGCAUGCUGAAGACCAAAUAUCUCUAAUUAGGAACAUAACACUUUUAAUAUGUUCCACAUGGGAUCAUCACAAAUAGAGUUUACUGCCACCACAGCUCCUUGAGGGUGAGAUGGCUUCACUGCCUGACCUGUGCUUUCACAAUGUCUAUCAUGAUUUUCACCUUCCUCUUUCUCAUCUGUGCUUCCUAUAAUAUGAUGGAUAUUUCUGUUCAUAAAUGUUCCAGAAUGGUGUCGUAUAUCCUCAAUUGCUUGGCCAGAAUAAAUAAACAAAUAAAUAAAUGCCUUGAAUUAAAACUAGAAACUGGAUUCACGAUGCAUCGGCUGCUUAUUGCUGGCCAUCCCAUGUCCUCCAGAAGGUCUGCAGAGGGGUCCUCGUGGCCUCUUCCCCGCAGAGGGUGUCAGAAGGCAAGAAAUCAAGAGAGCAAGACGAGCUGCAUGCCGGCGUGUAGGGUUGACUGCAUGUCAUACUGAAACCGAGUGUGACCCUCGCUCGUCCUUCUGGGCGACGGUAGGCAUCCGUAACGUUGUAGCUACUGCCCUCGGAUGGCCACUAGAGGGAAAUAUUGCUCUGCUAACAGCGUCGUUCUGGCGUGACGAUGUCAUUUUUAUCCGUAUUUUCAUUUUACUUUUGGAGGAAAAAAAUAUAUAUAUAAACUGCAUGCUCUUAUCUUCAGUUAUUUGGUUUGUGCUAGGUACCAGAUAAAAAUUCAGAAUUAAAAGUAAAUUAUUGUUUUCAUGAAAUUUAGCCCAGUACAUGUGAAAGUAGAACUAAGUUUACUUUCUGUAGUGCACGAAUCUCUCUUUUUCCUCUAGAUAACGACUAAAAUCCGUUUGCAAUCCAAUCUGUUUAUUUGAGGAAGGUUUACAAGAGGAAUAGAGGUUCAUGUAUCACUCUCGUCUGAGUACAUAGUCUGGAACCAAUGAAAUACUUCUCUUUCCUGUGUUCCCAGGUAAAAAUGCCACGGGUCAACACUGAGCAAGACGCAGGACUUUCAUUAAUUAAAUUACAGGUUUUUUUAUUAAGUAAGUGCUGCAUUCUCUGUCUCUAAGUCAUUAAGUAACUCAUUGAAUCAUACCACAACAAUAAAUCAUAUCAUGAUGUUCCUGUGUAUACAGUCAUUAAGCACUUUGGAGUGCAUGACUUCCUGAUAUGAUGUGUCUACAUUUUAAAAUAAACACAUGCCUAUAUUCUUCUUUUGCUUGUGUACUGCAAGCACCUUCUGCUUGAGUGCCCAAAGUAGUGAGAUGGAUUGGCUAAGCUCUAACAAAAAGUACGGUCAGCAUUAACGCGUCCAGAGAACAGCAGUAACAUCAGGCAACCCAGAAACAAGAUGAAGACAUUAACAAAAGAGCACCUUUGCAUGAAGCAUGAAAUGCAAUAAGGGUCCCAGAAACAAGAUGAAGACAUUAACAAAAGAGUGCCUUCGCACAAAACAUGAAAUGCAAUAAGGAUAUUGUAUUGCAGUGUCUGUAUAAAUAUUUUUCAUACUUAAGGCUAAGAUUAAAGAAAAUUAAAUACUAGCAUUUAGGAUUAAAAAAAAAAAAAAAAAAAAAAAAAAAAAAGACCUUGAAAUUAUUCAAGGUGUUUCAAAAGAGAAGUUUUUAAGAACUAUAUAUUAAAAAAAAAAAAGUACACAUUUUCACAUGCAGUAUUAAUAAAUCACUUUAUUC
ensembl:lncRNA